AAGGCCUCCGUCCUCUCCGCCUCCAGCCGGGCCGCCUCCUGCUCCACCCUCCUCCUCUCUUCCUCCAGCCUCAUGGCCCGCUCCAGCUGCUCCUGAAGUUCUACAAAAGCAGAGAUUCAGGAACCUCAGAGGAACAUGUCUUACAAAGCCGGGACACUGCUGUCAGGGGAGGCAGGUGCUGCAGUGACAUCAUCCUCACCUGCCAUCAUUAAAUGUAUCAGCGUCCGGGUCUGACAUGAAGCUGCACUGAAGAGACAUGAGAAUCAUGCAGCAUUUGACAAAGACAGCAGGGGACAGGAAGUAGCCGACUCUCACCGGUCGUCCUUUCCGUAGAUGUGGAUCCCCAUACAGUCCACCCCCAGCCACAG